ACCAGACUCCUACGGGAGGCAGCAGUGGGGAAUAUUGCACAAUGGGGGAAACCCUGAUGCAGCGACGCCGCGUGAGUGAAGAAGUAUUUCGGUAUGUAAAGCUCUAUCAGCAGGGAAGAAAAUGACGGUACCUGAUUAAGAAGCCCCGGCUAACUACGUGCCAGCAGCCGCGGUAAUACGUAGGGAGCAAGCGUUAUCCGGAUUUAUUGGGUGUAAAGGGUGCGUAGACGGGAAAUUAAGUUAGUUGUGAAAUCCCUCGGCUCAACUGAGGAACUGCAACUAAAACUGAUUUUCUUGAGUGCAGGAGAGGUAAGUGGAAUUCCUAGUGUAGCGGUGAAAUGCGUAGAUAUUAGGAGGAACACCGGCGGCGAAGGCGGCCUGCUGGACCGCGACUGACGUUGAGGCUCGAAAGCGUGGGGAGCGAACAGGAUUAGAUACCCCUGUA
rnacentral:rRNA from 1 species